CGGGACGGGUGAGUAAUGUCUGGGAAACUGCCUGAUGAGGGGGAUAACUACUGGAAACGGUAGCUAAUACCGCAUAACGUCGCAAGACCAAAGUGGGGGACCUUCGGGCCUCUUGCCAUCGGAUGUGCCCAGAUGGGAUUAGCUAGUAGGUGGGGUAACGGCUCACCUAGGCGACGAUCCCUAGCUGGUCUGAGAGGAUGACCAGCCACACUGGAACUGAGACACGGUCCAG
rnacentral:rRNA from 1 species